AAAUUGAAGAGUUUGAUCAUGGCUCAGAUUGAACGCUGGCGGCAGGCCUAACACAUGCAAGUCGAGCGGUAGCACAGAGAGCUUGCUCUCGGGUGACGAGCGGCGGACGGGUGAGUAAUGUCUGGGAAACUGCCUGAUGGAGGGGGAUAACUACUGGAAACGGUAGCUAAUACCGCAUAACGUCGCAAGACCAAAGUGGGGGACCUUCGGGCCUCAUGCCAUCAGAUGUGCCCAGAUGGGAUUAGCUAGUAGGUGGGGUAACGGCUCACCUAGGCGACGAUCCCUAGCUGGUCUGAGAGGAUGACCAGCCACACUGGAACUGAGACACGGUCCAGACUCCUACGGGAGGCAGCAGUGGGGAAUAUUGCACAAUGGGCGCAAGCCUGAUGCAGCCAUGCCGCGUGUGUGAAGAAGGCCUUCGGGUUGUAAAGCACUUUCAGCGGGGAGGAAGGCGUUAAGGUUAAUAACCUUGGCGAUUGACGUUACCCGCAGAAGAAGCACCGGCUAACUCCGUGCCAGCAGCCGCGGUAAUACGGAGGGUGCAAGCGUUAAUCGGAAUUACUGGGCGUAAAGCGCACGCAGGCGGUCUGUCAAGUCGGAUGUGAAAUCCCCGGGCUCAACCUGGGAACUGCAUUCGAAACUGGCAGGCUAGAGUCUUGUAGAGGGGGGUAGAAUUCCAGGUGUAGCGGUGAAAUGCGUAGAGAUCUGGAGGAAUACCGGUGGCGAAGGCGGCCCCCUGGACAAAGACUGACGCUCAGGUGCGAAAGCGUGGGGAGCAAACAGGAUUAGAUACCCUGGUAGUCCACGCCGUAAACGAUGUCGAUUUGGAGGUUGUGCCCUUGAGGCGUGGCUUCCGGAGCUAACGCGUUAAAUCGACCGCCUGGGGAGUACGGCCGCAAGGUUAAAACUCAAAUGAAUUGACGGGGCCCGCACAAGCGGUGGAGCAUGGGUUUAAUUCGAUGCAACGCGAAGAACCUUACCUGGUCUUGACAUCCACAGAACUUUCCAGAGAUGGAUUGGUGCCUUCGGGAACUGUGAGACAGGUGCUGCAUGGCUGUCGUCAGCUCGUGUUGUGAAAUGUUGGGUUAAGUCCCGCAACGAGCGCAACCCUUAUCCUUUGUUGCCAGCGGUUCGGCCGGGAACUCAAAGGAGACUGCCAGUGAUAAACUGGAGGAAGGUGGGGAUGACGUCAAGUCAUCAUGGCCCUUACGACCAGGGCUACACACGUGCUACAAUGGCAUAUAAAGAGAAGCGACCUCGCGAGAGCAAGCGGACCUCAUAAAGUAUGUCGUAGUCCGGAUUGGAGUCUGCAACUCGACUCCAUGAAGUCGGAAUCGCUAGUAAUCGUAGAUCAGAAUGCUACGGUGAAUACGUUCCCGGGCCUUGUACACACCGCCCGUCACACCAUGGGAGUGGGUUGCAAAAGAAGUAGGUAGCUUAACCUUCGGGAGGGCGCUUACCACUUUGUGAUUCAUGACUGGGGUGAAGUCGUAACAAGGUAACCGUAGGGGAACCUGCGGUUGGAUCACCUCCUUACCUUAAAGAA
rnacentral:rRNA from 1 species